rnacentral:rRNA from 1 species
UGGGGAAUAUUGGACAAUGGGCGAAAGCCUGAUCCAGCCAUGCCGCGUGUGUGAAGAAGGUCUUCGGAUUGUAAAGCACUUUAAGUUGGGAGGAAGGGCAGUAAGCGAAUACCUUGCUGUUUUGACGUUACCGACAGAAUAAGCACCGGCUAACUCUGUGCCAGCAGCCGCGGUAAUACAGAGGGUGCAAGCGUUAAUCGGAAUUACUGGGCGUAAAGCGCGCGUAGGUGGUUCGUUAAGUUGAAUGUGAAAGCCCCGGGCUCAACCUGGGAACUGCAUCCAAAACUGGCGAGCUAGGGUAGGGCAGAUGGUGGUGUAAUUUCCUGUGUAGCGGUGAAAUGCGUAGAUAUAGGAAGGAACACCAGUGGCGAAGGCGACCACCUGGGCUCAUACUGACACUGAGGUGCGAAAGCGUGGGGAGCAAACAGG